AGGUUUUAAAAGAAGUGGGGGCGCAGCAUACAUGUUCUCAACUUGUCAAAUGUAUAUUGUCUUUUGGUAACAUGCCUGGAAAAAUGUGAGAGUUUAAAUGUGCAUUCGAAAUAGUUUGCCGUUAUUGGUAAAUAAUUUUAAUUCAUCUAGUUUAAAACAUACGAUACAAGUUUGCCACUAUUUUCAUAGCCCUGGGUUUUAUCAGAUAGAGUGGGGGAAGGGUCGCCGGCCGCCAGCUUUAUUUCAUACGCUCAGUGCCAAACUCAGUGUUAGGGCGAGUCGUCACGGCGCAUCCACAGCACACACAUUAUCGCGCUGUUCGCGUUCUUGAAAAGGGCCAUGGACAAGUACAUCAAAAUCAAGCUGGAGGGAGCGAAGAUGAUCGCCGCG